rnacentral:lncRNA from 1 species
CCUGGAAUAGAAGCUACACAGACCCCAAUUUAGCAAAAUUUUUCUUUCUUUUACUCUUGCUGUAUCCCUCUUUUUCUCUCAGCUUGGAUCAAAAAUACCUCACCCAAACCUAAAUAUAUAAUCACCAAAGUCAGCAUAUAAUGAUUUUCUUUGGGUGAAGAAAAUCCUUUGGGACUUGAACCAAUAAAUGCUUAUGGAAAAGACUA